rnacentral:rRNA from 1 species
UGACGUACUUGUACUGAUUGAGAUUUUAACACGAAGUGAGUGGCGAACGGGUGAGUAACACGUGGGUAACCUGCCCAGAAGUAGGGGAUAACACCUGGAAACAGAUGCUAAUACCGUAUAACAGAGAAAACCGCAUGGUUUUCUUUUAAAAGAUGGCUCUGCUAUCACUUCUGGAUGGACCCGCGGCGUAUUAGCUAGUUGGUGAGGUAAAGGCUCACCAAGGCAGUGAUACGUAGCCGACCUGAGAGGGUAAUCGGCCACAUUGGGACUGAGACACGGCCCAGACUCCUACGGGAGGCAGCAGUAGGGAAUCUUCCACAAUGGACGCAAGUCUGAUGGAGCAACGCCGCGUGAGUGAAGAAGGGUUUCGGCUCGUAAAGCUCUGUUGUUAAAGAAGAACGUGGGUAAGAGUAACUGUUUACCCAGUGACGGUAUUUAACCAGAAAGCCACGGCUAACUACGUGCCAGCAGCCGCGGUAAUACGUAGGUGGCAAGCGUUAUCCGGAUUUAUUGGGCGUAAAGCGAGCGCAGGCGGUCUUUUAAGUCUAAUGUGAAAGCCUUCGGCUCAACCGAAGAAGUGCAUUGGAAACUGGGAGACUUGAGUGCAGAAGAGGACAGUGGAACUCCAUGUGUAGCGGUGAAAUGCGUAGAUAUAUGGAAGAACACCAGUGGCGAAGGCGGCUGUCUGGUCUGCAACUGACGCUGAGGCUCGAAAGCAUGGGUAGCGAACAGGAUUAGAUACCCUGGUAGUCCAUGCCGUAAACGAUGAUUACUAAGUGUUGGAGGGUUUCCGCCCUUCAGUGCUGCAGCUAACGCAUUAAGUAAUCCGCCUGGGGAGUACGACCGCAAGGUUGAAACUCAAAAGAAUUGACGGGGGCCCGCACAAGCGGUGGAGCAUGUGGUUUAAUUCGAAGCUACGCGAAGAACCUUACCAGGUCUUGACAUCUUCUGACAGUCUAAGAGAUUAGACGUUCCCUUCGGGGACAGAAUGACAGGUGGUGCAUGGUUGUCGUCAGCUCGUGUCGUGAGAUGUUGGGUUAAGUCCCGCAACGAGCGCAACCCUUAUUACUAGUUGCCAGCAUUAAGUUGGGCACUCUAGUGAGACUGCCGGUGACAAACCGGAGGAAGGUGGGGACGACGUCAAAUCAUCAUGCCCCUUAUGACCUGGGCUACACACGUGCUACAAUGGAUGGUACAACGAGUCGCGAAACCGCGAGGUUAAGCUAAUCUCUUAAAACCAUUCUCAGUUCGGACUGUAGGCUGCAACUCGCCUACACGAAGUCGGAAUCGCUAGUAAUCGCGGAUCAGCAUGCCGCGGUGAAUACGUUCCCGGGCCUUGUACACACCGCCCGUCACACCAUGAGAGUUUGUAACACCCAAAGCCGGUGGGGUAACCUUUUAGGAGCUAGCCGUCUAAGGGACAGAAUUU